GAUGAACGCUGGCGGCGUGCUUAACACAUGCAAGUCGAACGGAAAGGCUCCUGCUUGCCGGGGUACUCGAGUGGCGAACGGGUGAGUGACACGUGGGGGAUCUGCCCUGCACUUCGGGAUAAGCCUGGGAAACUCGGUCUAAUACCGCAUAGGACAAUGGUUUGGAUGUCAUUGUGUAAAGUUUGUGCGGUGUGAGAUGAGCUGUCGGCCUAUCAGCUUGUUGGUGGGGUAAUGGCAUACCAAGGCGUCGACUGGUAGCCGGCCCGUGAGGGUGAACGGCCACAUUGGGACUGAGAUACGGCCCAGACGCCUACGGGAGGCAGCAGUGGGGAAUAUUGCACAAUGGGCGCAAGCCUGAUGCAGCGACGCCGCGUGGGUGAUGACGGGCUUCGGGUGGUAAACUACUGUCGCUAGAGACGAAGCGCAAGUGACGGUACCUGGAGAAGAAGCACCGGCUAACUACGUG
rnacentral:rRNA from 1 species